CAGCCCUGUGACAUCUCUGCAAACCUUCUCCCUAUAGUUGCAUAAAGUUUGAGGUGGACAGUAAGUAGUGGAAAGAUGGGUUGAACCUUAUUUCAGAGUGGGAUCUUCAUAGGUUUUUCUCAUCUUGUUUUUAGAAUUUUUUGUUGUUUGUGUAAAGAUGGUAUUACGGAAACAUAAGGUUCAGUGAAGGAACUCAGGAUGAAGGUGGGCUUACAGCACCGCUGUCAGCCUCCCUCCAUGUCCUGUCGCUUCUAGAAACCAAGCCCACACCAAGCACAGCACAAAUAAAAGCCAUCACCCUCUUAUGAAUAAAAAACCGUAUAUAUUGUGGAAUAUUAAAUGUUCUGCGUGUACUAACAUGAGAGAAAAUACUUUUCCUCUACAUAGAGUGAAUUUUUUCUUGGUGACUUGUUUUUCUCUAGGGAAGGCUAAAAAGGAAUUUGUGACUGACCAAAUUAGAUACCUCCCUGAAAAAGACAGUGCCUUGGUCAGUGGUGAUGGUGGCUGGAGGCACUGGGUGUCUUCGGCCGGUGCUGAGGGGGACUGACUGGGGAUACAGCUUUCUUGGGGAGCAAGAGUUGGGGAUGUCGCAGGCCCCAUUGCUCAUUGUUGCACCGGACACUUUUCAAGGGCUGCUGAUCUCUGAUUUGUCUGUCUCUGUUGGGACGACUCUGGUUCUUGAGAGUGGCUUGUUGACUGCUGGCUGCAUAGCUCAGCAUUCUGCUGUGGUCUGAGUAGAACGGGUGUCUGUGGUUGCAGGGAAACCCACAGACUGGGGCUUGAAACUGCUGUCUUUGCUGAUUUACCUUCGAGGCAUGGCGCGCAUGGCAAAGUGACAUGUUCUCCUCCGGUAUCUGUCCAACUGCUGUCAUGAGCCUCUCAGCUUCAGCACUGCUGCCGUACACGCAUGAUCUGUUUUUUACUGUUUUUUGGCUCUCAGCAGUGACUGGUGCUGGCUUCCUUUCUUUCUUUGAAAAAAUCGUCUCAAAAAAUUGCUUGAUGUUUUCUCCAAAGUGGCUUAUUGAAGGAGGCUGUUUCUUUGAUGGCAGUAGCUGGACGCCUUCAUUCUGACGGGUGUCUUCUGUUUUUCUGCCUGGGGUAAGUUGAGGAGUCCUCAAUCCUUGAAACAUUUCUUCAUGUUUUUCUAAGUUGGGCUUCCUAGAGUUCUCCCUCUUGUGAGUAGGGGGAAACAUUGGGCUUUGGCUCUUGCAUGAGCCUUGACAGUUUGGGUUCCUGGGCUCCUUGUGCCCCAUGUUACUCCUUCUGGCUGACAUGAGGUCACAUAGCUCCUGGGAAGCCUGCAUGUUCCCAGUAGGCGUGCUCUGGAGAUGGCCCUGGGGCACUUGAGAAGCCAAAUUCUCUGAAGCAUGGGGCACAACAGAUGCUUGCCCAUCUGGAAGGAGCACAACAGCGGCAGAAACUUGAGGCUGUAUGUGAGGGGCUUAGAUGGCCACCUGCCCUCCUGUCC
rnacentral:lncRNA from 1 species